GACGUAGGGCGCGAGCGUUGUCCGGAUUUAUUGGGCGUAAAGAGCUCGUAGGCGGUCUGUCGCGUCGGCUGUGAAAACCCGGAGCUCAACUCCGGGCCUGCAGUCGAUACGGGCAGACUGGAGUUCGGCAGGGGAGACUGGAAUUCCUGGUGUAGCGGUGAAAUGCGCAGAUAUCAGGAGGAACACCGGUGGCGAAGGCGGUUCUCUGGGCCUUACCUGACACUGAGGAGCGAAAGCGUGGGGAGCGAACAGGA
rnacentral:rRNA from 1 species